rnacentral:rRNA from 1 species
AUGGUGCACGCGCGCGUGCGAGGCGGAUGCCCAACCGCCUCUACUCCGGACCGUACGUCUUCCUCAUCCUGUCAGAGUCGUCGGUCUGCUGCUGCAAAUAGGGGACACGCGCGGCCUGCACGACCUCGCCGCCAAGGCUAUGGCCGUCGACAUCCCUGCGACUGCGAUCGAUCGCAUCGAGCAGUUUACCGGGUGGUGCCCCCUUGGGAAGCAGACAGCAGUAGCAGCACCGGGCGCCGUUCCUGCGCGCCAUGGAUUACCGCGCGCACGGACACGGAGACCUGUGCGGACCGAUCACCCCGGCCGGCCCGGCGGCAUCAGCAAGUAACAAGUACUUCCUUCUCAUUGUUGAUGACGCGAUUGGAUAUAUACAUGCAUGUGGGUGGAAGUGCUCAGGUCCUCGCGGAGAAUUAG